AGCAAAUCUUAACAAAACUCAUUUACACACCCUCUCUACUCAAGCUGGUCUGGCCCAUGGAGGUUAUUUUUUUCCAGAACUAAAGCAGGAUGCAUGGACAUUAAGAGUUUUCUCAAUGAUCCUUUCCAUUGUGACAAUCUUGGCUGAGAGUUACUGUGAUGCUGUCAUUGAUAACAAACACCAUCUGUCAAAUUUAUCUGUAGCUCUCACAGCUAACUUUUAAAUCACAGGAAUAGUGAACACAAGAAACCUCCCCAGUAUCAGAUCUGGGUCUAUUUUUGAACAGUGUAUCACCUGUGUUACAAACAUAGGUUAUCUUAGUAUGCAGCAGCCAUCACUGCCUCCAUGCCAUUUCUUGGUCUCUCAGAUGGACUGUCAUUUACGUAUGGCAUCUGAACAAUGCCAUGUCCUUUCACUUGUGUUUGUUUGAGGGCAUUCCCUGAUCAAUCACUGGCAUUUAUGUGGAAGUACAAUGUGUACGCACCUCUAGGAAAAAAUCCUUUCAGUGAAAUAUAGACCCGGUUGUUCUGCUCAGUGACUUUGAACAGUUAAUAUUACAUAUUUGCUGCAGUUUCAUCACCUAAAAUAGAGCUUUGUUGGGUAUAUGGGUAUAGUGAUGCACAUCUGUAAUCUCAGCACUUAGGAGGAUCAAGAAUUCACAACUAACCCCAGCUACAUAGCAAGUUCAAAGCCAGCACAGGCUCAAAACAAAACAGGCUAGCAUGAUAGCUCAGUCAGUAGAGUGUUUGCUUUGCAAACGCAAGUAUCUGAGUUGGAUUCUCAGAACUCAUAGAAGAAGAAAAACAAAAGAAAGAGGGAGGAAGAGGGAGAGAAGGAGGAGAAGGAGGAGAAGGAGGAGGAAAAGGAAGAAUAAGUACAAGAAAGGAAACAGGAGAAGAAGACAAAGGAGGAGUAAGCAGUGUCAUGACUUGUAAUCCCAGUACCAGAGAGGCAAAAGCAAGAGAUCCCUGGAGUUCUGAUCAACCACCUUAACAUACUUAGCAAGGAGGGUAAGAUAUCUCAUAAAAGCAGGAUGGAUAAUACCUGAGUAACAGUGGCCAUUGUUGUCUGACCUCCACUUUUACCUAUAUACAUGUGUGUGUGCACCCCCAAAACAUGUAUGUACACACACACACACACACACACACACACACACACACACACACACCACACAUACACGUAUGCUAAUUCAGCACUGGAAUGAUACUCAGUGGUUAAACAUUUUUCCGGCAUAUGGAAGGUCCUGGAUUUGACCUUCAACAUCACAAAAAUAACGGAGCUAAUCCUGAUCUCAUGGGAUUUUUAUUUUUAAUAAAUAGUGUGCUGGCCAAUGAGCACAAGGUAUUUGCUCCAUAUUUACCAACAUUCUUUCUUAUCAAAGUCCACACUUACAUCCUUCUCUAAAACCUGAAAACCUUUACUUCUACACAUCUCAAGGCCCCUGUCACCCCCAGCCUAUAACUCAGCAUUAUUACAUCCUUCUUUCAUCUCUGGGCCAUUCCCAAUUUUUGGAUGAGGUAGUGUGUGCGUUGGUCCAUGAUAACUAUUGGCAGAGGCGUUUGAUGCUGAAUAAAUUCCAGCCAUAAAUAAUAAUAUUAUCUCUCACAUGGAGAAGCCACAAAACCUCACAAAAUCCCUGUGCCGAAUAAAACUUUGCUGAUUUAUUGUAGGAAAUAUACCAAAUAUGAAAUUCAGUUUUAACUGGGAGAAAUAAAAAAUGAAAAUACUGAGUUGGAUGGUGCCUUGAUCCAACUAUUUGAAGAAUCAUAGAAUUAGAGGAAUUGUCAAUGAAGUCAGAAGUUAACACAUUUUAUUGAUUCUUUCUGAGUAAAUUAAAAAGAUCUCAUCCCGAGUAAAUAACUCAUUUC
rnacentral:lncRNA from 1 species